AACGCACAUUGCGCCCCUUGGUAUUCCGAGGGGCAUGCCUGUUCGAGCGUCAUUACAACCCUCAAGCAUUGCUUGGUAUUGGGCUCCGCUGUUCACUCAGCGGGCCUUGAAAUCAGUGGCGGUGCCAUCGAGGCCCUGAGCGUAGUCAAUAUCCUCGCUAUAGGGACCCGGUAGACGCUGGCCAUCAACCCCCAACUUUCUAAGUUUGACCUCGGAUCAGGUAGGGAUACCCGCUGAACUUAA
rnacentral:misc_RNA from 1 species